CGAAAUACAUGACCAGGCAGCCAUCCUAAUCUGGAGGGACUCUUGCUAAUGAUACCAGACACUCUUUUGUUUUCUCGACACUUACAUUGUUUACAAAAAAAGAAGGGAGGGGGAGAUGCAGAGCAAUCAAAUAGUCACACUAAGUGGACAAUUGGUAGAAUCUUUUUUCUGGUUUGCUCUUCAGUUUUGACUAAGACUAAAGCUGCU